rnacentral:rRNA from 1 species
UGUGCCAGCAGUUGCGGCAAGACAUCGGACUCGAAGCGUUACUGGUCUUGAUUGGGCGUUAAGUGUAGCUAGGCGGCUAACGUAGUUAUGGUGUAUAAGGUUUGGUUCGGACAUGAGCUCCAUAAUACCGUUAUGCUUGAGAUAUAUUUUAGUUCAUCUGGUACGCGCACCUUAGCGAUAAAAUGCGGAGAGGGUGCUAUGGACAUUCCAGUGGCCACGGCGAGGAUCGAAUAUAUCUGACGCUGAACUACUAAAGUGUGGGGGCCAAAAAGGAUUAGGGACCCUUGUAGCCCACACCCUGAAUUCAUGAACAUUGAUCGGUAUUAAUAGUACUGAUUCAGCAAACGCGUAAAUGUUCCGCCUGGGUAUAAUACCGCAAGGUAGAAAGCUAAUUAGAUUGGCGGGAGCUUGUAUAAACAAUGGGGCACGUGGCUUAAUUCGACAAUACACGUAAAAUCUUACCCGUGAUACGUGAAAUCAUAGGAUCUUUCGUAUACGCGCCUAGAAGGUAUGAGUAUACUAUAUACCCGGCUUAGUAGCCAUCAUUGAACCAUCGUUUAAUGAUUCUAUAUAGUGGUACCUACCUCAUGUGGGAUUAAUUAUUUUUGCUCAAUAAUUAAUACAAUGAACUUGUUCAUUGUCCGAUAUGAUUGAUAAACUUAAUUGUUUAGCAGAACGCGUACUGUACGCGCUGUGUGAACCUGCGAUCUCCUGGUGCUGCAUGGCUGUCGCAAAUUCAUGCUGUGAGGUUUGGUUUUUGGUAACUGAAUGAAUGCGACCUAUGGGGUACUUCGUAUAUCUUAAAUAUGUCGUGGUGCGCGAUGAUAUUAUAUAUUUGGGUACCCUCUGAGACCACCUGCAAGUAAAUUCUUUGUGGGGGUCUCUAGGUCUAGGACACGUCAAGUCAACAUGGUCUUUAUAUACGGGGCUGCACAUGUGCCACAAGGGCAAAGACAAAAUGAUGCUACGGUGUGACCCGGAGCAAUCUUAUAAAAAUUGUCACAGUUCAGAUUGUACGCUGCAAAUCGUGUACAUUAAGUUGUAAUUGUUAGUAAUCGUUCUUGGGCAGAUUGCCGCGGUGAAUGUUAUUCGAGCUUUGCACACACCGCCCAUCACGCUAGGGGAGAGGCCGGGGCUGGAAGGUUCUCUUGCAAGUUUAAGGACUUGGAGUUUGCAGAAUGUAACGGCAUCAAUCAGAGCUAAGUUGACACAAGGUAGUGGUAGUAGAAACUGCUGCUGGAGUAG